rnacentral:rRNA from 1 species
UUAAGUUAUUAAGGGCGCACGGUGGAUGCCUUGGCACUAGAAGCCGAUGAAGGACGUUACUAACGACGAUAUGCUUUGGGGAGCUGUAAGUAAGCUUUGAUCCAGAGAUUUCCGAAUGGGGAAACCCAGCAUGAGUUAUGUCAUGUUAUCGAUAUGUGAAUACAUAGCAUAUCAGAAGGCACACCCGGAGAACUGAAACAUCUUAGUACCCGGAGGAAGAGAAAGAAAAUUCGAUUCCCUUAGUAGCAGCGAGCGAAACGGGAAGAGCCCAAACCAAAAAGCUUGCUUGUUGGGGUUGUAGGACACUCUAUACGGAGUUACAAAGGACGACAUUAGACGAAUCAUCUGGAAAGAUGAAUCAAAGAAGGUAAUAAUCCUGUAGUCGAAAAUGUUGUCUCUCUUGAGUGGAUCCUGAGUACGACGGAGCACGUGAAAUUCCGUCGGAAUCUGGGAGGACCAUCUCCUAAGGCUAAAUACUCUCUAGUGACCGAUAGUGAACCAGUACCGUGAGGGAAAGGUGAAAAGCACCCCGGAAGGGGAGUGAAAUAGAACCUGAAACCGUGUGCUUACAAGUAGUCAGAGCCCGUUAAUGGGUGAUGGCGUGCCUUUUGUAGAAUGAACCGGCGAGUUACGAUUUGAUGCAAGGUUAAGCAGUAAAUGUGGAGCCGUAGCGAAAGCGAGUCUGAAUAGGGCGUUUAGUAUUUGGUCGUAGACCCGAAACCAGGUGAUCUACCCUUGGUCAGGUUGAAGUUCAGGUAACACUGAAUGGAGGACCGAACCGACUUACGUUGAAAAGUGAGCGGAUGAACUGAGGGUAGCGGAGAAAUUCCAAUCGAACCUGGAGAUAGCUGGUUCUCUCCGAAAUAGCUUUAGGGCUAGCCUCAAGUGAUGAUUAUUGGAGGUAGAGCACUGUUUGGACGAGGGGCCCCUCUCGGGUUACCGAAUUCAGACAAACUCCGAAUGCCAAUUAAUUUAACUUGGGAGUCAGAACAUGGGUGAUAAGGUCCGUGUUCGAAAGGGAAACAGCCCAGACCACCAGCUAAGGUCCCAAAAUAUAUGUUAAGUGGAAAAGGAUGUGGCGUUGCCCAGACAACUAGGAUGUUGGCUUAGAAGCAGCCAUCAUUUAAAGAGUGCGUAAUAGCUCACUAGUCGAGUGACACUGCGCCGAAAAUGUACCGGGGCUAAACAUAUUACCGAAGCUGUGGAUUGUCCUUUGGACAAUGGUAGGAGAGCGUUCUAAGGGCGUUGAAGCAUGAUCGUAAGGACAUGUGGAGCGCUUAGAAGUGAGAAUGCCGGUGUGAGUAGCGAAAGACGGGUGAGAAUCCCGUCCACCGAUUGACUAAGGUUUCCAGAGGAAGGCUCGUCCGCUCUGGGUUAGUCGGGUCCUAAGCUGAGGCCGACAGGCGUAGGCGAUGGAUAACAGGUUGAUAUUCCUGUACCACCUAUAAUCGUUUUAAUCGAUGGGGGGACGCAGUAGGAUAGGCGAAGCGUGCGAUUGGAUUGCACGUCUAAGCAGUAAGGCUGAGUAUUAGGCAAAUCCGGUACUCGUUAAGGCUGAGCUGUGAUGGGGAGAAGACAUUGUGUCUUCGAGUCGUUGAUUUCACACUGCCGAGAAAAGCCUCUAGAUAGAAAAUAGGUGCCCGUACCGCAAACCGACACAGGUAGUCAAGAUGAGAAUUCUAAGGUGAGCGAGCGAACUCUCGUUAAGGAACUCGGCAAAAUGACCCCGUAACUUCGGGAGAAGGGGUGCUCUUUAGGGUUAACGCCCAGAAGAGCCGCAGUGAAUAGGCCCAAGCGACUGUUUAUCAAAAACACAGGUCUCUGCUAAACCGUAAGGUGAUGUAUAGGGGCUGACGCCUGCCCGGUGCUGGAAGGUUAAGAGGAGUGGUUAGCUUCUGCGAAGCUACGAAUCGAAGCCCCAGUAAACGGCGGCCGUAACUAUAACGGUCCUAAGGUAGCGAAAUUCCUUGUCGGGUAAGUUCCGACCCGCACGAAAGGCGUAACGAUUUGGGCACUGUCUCAACGAGAGACUCAGUGAAAUCAUAGUACCUGUGAAGAUGCAGGUUACCCGCGACAGGACGGAAAGACCCCGUGGAGCUUUACUGUAGCCUGAUAUUGAAAUUCGGCACAGCUUGUACAGGAUAGGUAGGAGCCUUUGAAACGUGAGCGCUAGCUUACGUGGAGGCGCUGGUGGGAUACUACCCUAGCUGUGUUGGCUUUCUAACCCGCACCACUUAUCGUGGUGGGAGACAGUGUCAGGCGGGCAGUUUGACUGGGGCGGUCGCCUCCUAAAAGGUAACGGAGGCGCUCAAAGGUUCCCUCAGAAUGGUUGGAAAUCAUUCAUAGAGUGUAAAGGCAUAAGGGAGCUUGACUGCGAGACCUACAAGUCGAGCAGGGUCGAAAGACGGACUUAGUGAUCCGGUGGUUCCGCAUGGAAGGGCCAUCGCUCAACGGAUAAAAGCUACCCCGGGGAUAACAGGCUUAUCUCCCCCAAGAGUUCACAUCGACGGGGAGGUUUGGCACCUCGAUGUCGGCUCAUCGCAUCCUGGGGCUGUAGUCGGUCCCAAGGGUUGGGCUGUUCGCCCAUUAAAGCGGUACGCGAGCUGGGUUCAGAACGUCGUGAGACAGUUCGGUCCCUAUCCGUCGUGGGCGUAGGAAAUUUGAGAGGAGCUGUCCUUAGUACGAGAGGACCGGGAUGGACAUACCUCUGGUGUACCAGUUGUCGUGCCAACGGCAUAGCUGGGUAGCUAUGUGUGGACGGGAUAAGUGCUGAAAGCAUCUAAGCAUGAAGCCCCCCUCAAGAUGAGAUUUCCCAACUUCGGUUAUAAGAUCCCUCAAAGAUGAUGAGGUUAAUAGGUUCGAGGUGGAAGCAUGGUGACAUGUGGAGCUGACGAAUACUAAUCGAUCGAAGACUUAAUCAA